rnacentral:rRNA from 1 species
CAGUCGCCGCGGUAAUACGGAGGGCGCGAGCGUUACCCGGAUUUACUGGGCGUAAAGGGCGUGUAGGCGGCCUGGGGCGUCCCAUGUGAAAGGCCACGGCUCAACCGUGGAGGAGCGUGGGAUACGCUCAGGCUAGAGGGUGGGAGAGGGUGGUGGAAUUCCCGGAGUAGCGGUGAAAUGCGCAGAUACCGGGAGUAACGCCGAUGGCGAAGGCAGCCACCUGGUCCACUUCUGACGCUGAGGCGCGAAAGCGUGGGGAGCAAACCGGAUUAGAUACCCCUGUAGUCCCUGUCUCUUAUAA